rnacentral:rRNA from 1 species
UACGUAGGGGGCUAGCGUUGUCCGGAAUCAUUGGGCGUAAAGAGCGUGUAGGCGGCCAGACAGGUCAGCUGUGAAAACUCGAGGCUCAACCUCGAGACGUCGGUUGAAACCGUUUGGCUAGAGUCCGGAAGAGGAGAGUGGAAUUCCCGGUGUAGCGGUGAAAUGCGCAGAUAUCGGGAGGAACACCAGUGGCGAAGGCGACUACCUGGCCUGUUCUUGACGCUGAGGCGCGAAAGCUAGGGGAGCAAACGGG